rnacentral:rRNA from 1 species
AUACGGAGGGCGCAAGCGUUGCCCGGAAUCACUGGGUGUAAAGGGUGCGUAGGCGGGGCUGUAAGUCAGAGGUGAAAGCCCUCGGCUCAACCGGGGAAUUGCCUCUGAUACUGCAGCUCUUGAGUCCCGGAGAGGCCGCUGGUAUUCCUGGUGUAGCGGUGAAAUGCGUAGAUAUCAGGAGGAACACCGGAGGCGAAGGCGGGCGGCUGGACGGGGACUGACGCUGAGGCACGAAAGCGUGGGGAGCGAACAGGAUUAGAAACCCCGGUAGUCC